rnacentral:lncRNA from 1 species
GGAAUGUGAUGGUCAUCAUUAUACAAAGUACGUGUAUGAAGAUUUGAAUUGGAUGUCAACAUAACCUUAUAUACAAACAUACCUUAUAUACAAACAUACCUUAUAGACAAAAAGAGAUAUGAAAAAUUGUGGUAUAUAUGUGUAUUAAGAAUUGUAAUGCAAAAAAAAAUGUACAUGUAUAAUGGCGUAAAUUGACCUGAACAUACUUUAUAUACAGAUACAAAAAAUUGUGCUCUAUAUAUGUAAUAAGGAUUGUAAUGCAUUCCACUGUUGUCAUGUAUUUAAAAAAAGAAUUAUUUAUUGAUUAAUGUUCUGAAGUGGGAUAGAAAUUCUCUUCAUGUUGAAUAUUUUUGGAUACUUAAAAUAGUUAUCAAGUAAACACUUCCCAUACGUACUAAAAGAUGACUGAACAGUGGCAGAGAGGUGAAGAAAGUCUACCACCCUGCUUUUUCUCUAAGGGAAUCUGCCAGCUUGUCAGAUCAAUGAGACAUGCCCCUAUGAAACAGCCAACCGGCCACUCUCCACUUUUUACCUGAGAGCACAACUUGCAUGAGUAUCAGCCUACAUUUGCUCUGCUUUUUAUCCAAUGUUAAUGCAUUUUAUACCCCAUUUUACCUUUGAGUAACAAUCUAGGCAGUAAAUUAGGAGGAUGUCUUGAAAUUUAAGGAAUUAGGAAUUCAUGAGUAAAGGCAGGAAGAGACCCACAGAGGGUUGUGUCUGUCAUGUGUGUAUGAUACAGGUUCUCAUUGAGGGAUAGCUUUUAUUUUCUUUAUGUGAAGAAACUCCUCCACCACAAAGUAACUAAAAACAAAGAAUAUUUAGUGAAAGAAUAUCAAAAGUAGAUUUAGAGUAAUGGUAUAGAAGCUAUGAGGAAUUUUACCUCCAUAUUCUGUAAAAGAUUAAUGGUUUCUCAGAAUCAUAUAUGUAUGAGUGUUAAUUAGUAAUAAAAUAUUGUGACACAGAAACUGCAAGCAAUAUAGUAAAAAAUGCUUGGAGGUGAGAGAGAAAAAUUAUUUCAUUAGAGACCUGGAGUCUCUAAUAAAAUAAUCAAAAGUGCAGAAAAAUAUAGUAACUGAUAAAAUAUUAGACAGAUUAUAAAAAGGCAUAUCAAGUUCAAAGGACCAAUAGUAAGUCUUGAGGCUGACUUUUGAACAGAUAUUAUGGAAAUCAGUCGUCAAUGGAAUAACACCCCAAAAUGUUGAAAGAAAAACUUCUGACCACAGCGGUUACCAAAAUUCAAGCAGAUAGGAGGAAUGAGUUGCGGUUAUCUACAGCACAGUGGGGUGACUGUAAUUGAUAGAAUUUUUUUUUUUUUUGUAAUGAACUAGAAGCUAGGAAUUUGAAGUUGUCUUACACAAAGAAAUAAUGUUUUAAAGAUAUGGAAAUAAUAAUUAUCCUGGGCUGUUCAUUAGCUAUUGUACACAAGCACUGAAUUAUCAGGUUGUACUAAAUGCAUAUAAUUAUUAUGAGUCAAUUAAAAAAAUUCCAACCUAAAGUUCUAUAACAGGGUGAACCUCCCCUUAAAAUAGAAGGUAAAUGCUGAGAAAUUUAUUACUAGAAGAUCUGCACUGUAAGAAAUAUUAACAGAAUCUUUUCAGAUUGAUGGAAAAGGGAUCCUAGAUGGAUACACAAAACUAUAGAAGGAAUGAAGAACAGAAGAAGUGCUAAAAUGUGAGUUGCUUAAAAAUACUAUUUAAAACACAACAUUGUAGAAACAAAAUAACAACAACUAUAUCACAAAAUUGGGAAUGGGAUAAAUGGAGUUAAACUGUGAAAACUAUUAAUAUUUUUUGAAGUUGGCAAAAUAUUAAUAUAAUUAUAGUGAGUUAAGGAAACAUAUUUUUAUCUCUAGAGUAACUACUCACAUUAAAAAAAUAAGAAUUAUUCCUAAAGGAUAAAAAAGAACAUAGAGUAACAGAAAAAAUAUGCCAAAAGAAAGCAGGUAAAAGGAACAGAGGAAUAUAAAACAGGGAGACAAAUAGAAAACAAAAAGCAUAGAUGGUCCAAAAAUAUCAGUAAUUAAAUUACAUGUAAAUGAGUAAUACCCCAAAGCUGGGGUAAUCCAAGACGUUGGACAACCAUCAUAGGUCUCUGAGGACUAGCUAAACUUCAAACUAUCUGAGUGCACAUCAUGCAGAUUAGGAAAGUCAUGACUAUUGAUGUUACCUUCCAGCUCCCUGGGUACCCUUCUCAAAUCUUAUCCAAGUCUUUCCUUUCUCAUUGGCAAUUCUGAAUUUUGUGUUUAUCAUUUCCUUGCUUUAUUCUGUAGACUUACCAGAUAGGUGUCUGUGCUUAAAUAAUAUAGUAUUUAGUUGUUACAGUUUUAAAACUAUAUAAAUGGAAUCAUAUUGUAUACUUUCAUCUUCAUAUUUUCUUAUUAUUAUGUUUUCAGCAUUUCACAGACAACUGAAAUGCAUUCAUUUUUCCUGAUAUAUGCUAAUUCAUCAUAUUAUUAUUGCAUAUUUUUUCAUUCUGCUGUGGAUAGAUAUUUGUAAAUGUCUAAGUGUGUCUCUAGGAUAGUAGAAUGGUUGAGUUGCAUUCAGAGCACAAUAUCAUCUUGGCGAGACAAUGCUAAAUUGUUUUCUGAAAUGAGUGUAUAUUAACAGAAAGGUAUAAGUUCCAGAUGCUUGUCAACACCUGAAUUUUGCAAACCUGGUAGGCAAAAAAUUGGACUGUGGUUAAUUUUUAUGCAUUUCACUGCUUACUAAUGAGAUUGAGCAUCUUUUCAUAUGUUUAUUUCUAUACCACAGAGACUUCCUUAAUGAAAUGCCUCUUUGAGUCUUUUGUCAAUAUUUUCAUGUCAUUUUCUUUCUU